AGAUUGAACGCUGGCGGCAGGCCUAACACAUGCAAGUCGAGCGGUAGAGAGGUGCUUGCAUCUCUUGAGAGCGGCGGACGGGUGAGUAAUGCCUAGGAAUCUGCCUAGUGGUGGGGGAUAACGUUCGGAAACGGACGCUAAUACCGCAUACGUCCUACGGGAGAAAGCGGGGGACCUUCGGGCCUCGCGCCAUUAGA
rnacentral:rRNA from 1 species